rnacentral:rRNA from 1 species
AGUGAACGCUGGCGGUAGGCCUAACACAUGCAAGUCGAACGGCAGCACAGUAAGAGCUUGCUCUUACGGGUGGCGAGUGGCGGACGGGUGAGGAAGACAUCGGAAUCUACUUUUUCGUGGGGGAUAACGUAGGGAAACUUACGCUAAUACCGCAUACGACCUACGGGUGAAAGCAGGGGAUCUUCGGACCUUGCGCGAUUGAAUGAGCCGAUGUCGGAUUAGCUAGUUGGCGGGGUAAAGGCCCACCAAGGCGACGAUCCGUAGCUGGUCUGAGAGGAUGAUCAGCCACACUGGAACUGAGACACGGUCCAGACUCCUACGGGAGGCAGCAGUGGGGAAUAUUGGACAAUGGGCGCAAGCCUGAUCCAGCCAUGCCGCGUGGGUGAAGAAGGCCUUCGGGUUGUAAAGCCAUUUUGUUGGGAAAGAAAAGCAGCAGGUUAAUACCCCGCUGUUCUGACGGUACCCAAAGAAUAAGCACCGGCUAACUUCGUG